rnacentral:lncRNA from 1 species
UUAGAAAGCAGAAUUGCAACAGAAACUCUUGCUGCUGCUAUUGGUUCUGGCAAGCAAGGUCCUGAAACAGGUUAUUGGAAGUUCCUGGUGAUGGCAGCCAUUCUCUGAUUUCUUGCAUUGAGCUUCCAGUUCUCAUGUGUGACAGGCAGUUGGGAAAGCAGCUGGUGGGGAAUGCAGCAGCUUCUUGACAACCGAAUCACAGCUAGUAUGAUGUAUCCUUGAACUAAACAGUCCAGUGGUCAUCCCCUGACUGCUGCUGCCCCAGCUCAUCCAAUCAUUUGGUGGGCCUCAUGCAGUAAGUUGAAGGUUGUAAGAGCAAAGAUAGAAGGCCUUCCCAAAGAAUGAGGACUUCUGCCUGAGGAUAGCAAAUACCAAUUCUGCAUGGGUUUCCUGGCUUCAGACUCAAGAAUGCAAUAUCAACUCUUACUGGAAUUUCUAUCCUACCAGCUUGCCCUGCAAAUUUCAGACUUGCCAGCCCUUGCAAUUAAGGGAACCUGAAAAAGCUGAUCUACUGGGAUGCAUAAAAUCUGCUUCAGGACUGAUGAAGUUGCAUUUCUGAACUAGUAUUAAAAGGGUGAGAGAGAUUUAUGUGAAACAACUGAAACAUUUCAGUGUCAAAAUACUCCCAAAUACAGAACAACAGAGUAGAUCUGUGUGCUCACUCUUGCAAGAAAGGAAGAAGGAGGAUCUGGAGGAAAUUGAACAAUAAAGCUUCCUAGCUGAAUCCAGUAAAUUUUCCCAACCUCUCCAGAAUAUGAAAAAAAAAAAUGUUGCUUUUCUGUUUUGGUAAUUUUUCACAGUUAUGAAAGAAUUGGUGAGAGCAGUUUAGGAGAUGCAAUGACACUGUAUAACAGAAGAAAAAUAAAAGGUAAUAAGUAUU